GACGUAGGGCGCGAGCGUUGUCCGGAUUUAUUGGGCGUAAAGAGCUCGUAGGCGGCUUGUCGCGUCGUCCGUGAAAACUUGUGGCUUAACCACAGGCUGGCGGUCGAUACGGGCAAGCUGGAGUUCGGUAGGGGAGACUGGAAUUCCUGGUGUAGCGGUGAAAUGCGCAGAUAUCAGGAGGAACACCGGUGGCGAAGGCGGGUCUCUGGGCCGAUACUGACGCUGAGGAGCGAAAGCGUGGGGAGCGAACAGG
rnacentral:rRNA from 1 species